rnacentral:rRNA from 1 species
AUGGCCUCCACGAUGCCGCACCGCAUCGCGCUGCUCCUGCUCCUCCUGGCGUCCACGCGCGCGGCGACCGCGGCCGGCGCCGGCGCCUGCGCGGCCGAGAAGUUCCCGGCGGGGAAGACGUACGCCAAGUGCGAGGACCUCCCGCAGCUGGGCGCCGCGCUGCACUGGACCUACGACGAGGCCAAGUCAUCGCUCUCGCUGGCCUUCGUGGCGGCGCCGGCGGGUACCAACGGGUGGGUGGCCUGGGCCCUCAACCCCACGGGCGAGGGCAUGGCCGGCGCGCAGGCGCUCGUGGCGCUCAAGGGCUCCGGCUCCGCCGCGCCCACCGUCAGGACGUACAACAUCACCGGCUACGUGCCGCUCGGCAAGGCCUCCACGCCCAUCGCGUUCCCGGCCACCGACCUCGCCGCCGACUCCGGCAGCGGCGGCAAGAUCCGGCUCUACGGCAAGCUGCAGCUGCACAGCGGGAUGAAGGCGGUGAACCACAUAUGGCAGGUCGGCACCUCCGUCACCGCCGGGGCCCCCGACAAGCACGCUUUCGCCGCCGGCAACCUCGCCUCCAAGUCCAAGCUCGUCCUCUCGGGCAAAGCGGCCUCCGCGACCUCGCCUUCGCCGGCGCCCGCCCCCAUGGCCGGUGGGCCGUCCGGAUCGGCCGGCAGCGACGGCGGCGCGUCGGCGACCACGGCGCCUUCCGCCGGCAAGUCCCCGUCGGGCGCGGCCGCGGUCGGCGUGUCGGCGCCGGCACUCCUUGUGCUCGCGUUGAUGGGACUCCUCGCGGUAGUAUGA